rnacentral:rRNA from 1 species
CAGUCGCCGCGGUAAUACGGAGGAUCCAAGCGUUAUCCGGAAUCAUUGGGUUUAAAGGGUCCGUAGGCGGUCUUGUAAGUCAGUGGUGAAAGCCCAUCGCUCAACGGUGGAACGGCCAUUGAUACUGCAGGACUUGAAUUAUUGGGAAGUAACUAGAAUAUGUAGUGUAGCGGUGAAAUGCUUAGAGAUUACAUGGAAUACCAAUUGCGAAGGCAGGUUACUACAAAUUGAUUGACGCUGAUGGACGAAAGCGUGGGUAGCGAACAGGAUUAGAUACCCCCGUAGUCCCUGUCUCUUAUAC